AUGAAGACUUUGUGUGUUGCUGUUGUUGCACUGAGUCUCAUCUCAGCAUGUCGGCCUUCAUCGUUGGCCUGUGAAAUGUUGCUGCAACCAAUGGAUCAAGAUCCAGAGGUACUUGGGAGAUGGUACGUUAUAGCUUUGUCCUCAAACUACUGCUGGGUAGCGUCAAUGUUCAAUACUGUCCUUGCUCCAAGUAUUCAACUGGAUGUUACCUCAGCUGGAAAACCACACUACUAUGACGUCAACUUUACAUUAAAAGUAUCUGAGUUUUGUGACAGUAAAAGCAUACAAUUCUUCCAAAAGAGCAACAUGGCAGUUGAAGUUCGAUCCAUCGACGAUGUCCCAAAGACUCAAAAAGGUGCGAUUAUUUCCAGUCGAUGUCAAGACUGCCUUGUCAUCAGAGAGGAUGGCUUAGUUAACAUGGUUGCUCUUCUCAGUAAAAGACCAAACGUCACCUCAGCAGAGAUGAAAGAGUUUGAGGUGCAAGCAGAUUGUCUGGGCAUGUACAGACCUCAAGUCCUGAACGCUGAUUUCGAUUUAGAAAACUGCAAACCUUUGACAAAUGUGGAGGUUGAUGAAAAAUUUGCCGCUCAUAUUCCAGUCAGAGUGAGGAACAUGUUCUCAGGACUCUUCACGUGUACUUCAGAAAAACUCCUUUAUUAUCCCCGUGCUAUCUUUGGAUGGGCUCAACACACGUUGAGCAAUAUUUGGUAA
rnacentral:lncRNA from 1 species